CCAGAGGGCCGGGCGGCCACGUCGCAUUUCGGUGCGCCGAGGAAAGUCCGGGCUCCACGGAAACACGGUGCCGGGUAACGCCCGGCGGGGGUGACCCCAGGGAAAGUGCCACAGAGAGCAGACCGCUCACCGCUUCGUUUCGAAGCAGGAGCAAGGGUGAAAGGGUGCGGCAAGAGCGCACCGCGCCUCCGGCAACGGCAGGCGGCACGGCAAACCCCACCGGGAGCAAGAUCGAAUAGGGGCCGCGCAUGGGGAAUUCCGCCCCUGCGGCCCGGGUUGAUUGCUCGACCCCGGACGCAAGCCCGGGGCUAGAGGAAUGGCCGCCCAUCGCGCGCACCUCCCGCAAGGGAAAGGGCCGUGAGGACAGAACCCGGCUUACAGGCCCUCUGGCGUC
rnacentral:RNase_P_RNA from 1 species